rnacentral:rRNA from 1 species
AUAGAUUAAGUUAUUAAGGGCGCACGGUGGAUGCCUUGGCACUAGAAGCCGAUGAAGGACGUUACUAACGACGAUAUGCUUUGGGGAGCUGUAAGUAAGCUUUGAUCCAGAGAUUUCCGAAUGGGGAAACCCAACAUGAGUUAUGUCAUGUUAUCGAUAUGUGAAUACAUAGCAUAUCAGAAGGCACACCCGGAGAACUGAAACAUCUUAGUACCCGGAGGAAGAGAAAGAAAAUUCGAUUCCCUUAGUAGCGGCG